AUUGCAUCCAUUCAAAUUCAAUCCAAUUCCAUCCACUACUCCUCUCCUUUCUCUCUAUGCUUAAAACCCUAGCCAUUUUUCACACACGCAAGUUUUUUCCAAGAUCUAGUUGACUAGUUUCAGUAACAAAACACCCGGCAAAGAUCAUGACGGUGGUGCCAUAAUCAACCGAACAGGAGCUGAUGAGCUCUCCAACUGACGGCAUAUCAAAUGUCCCCUUCUCAAACCACAGUGACAAUCUAUUGGUUUCUUCUUAGGAUAAGGUCACUUGAUUUUGUUUUCUAGAUUUUUCUUUUUUAGAUCUCAAUUGUCAAUUCUUUAGUGUUUUUUUUGGGAGAUUAGAUUCUAUUUUGAUGUGUUUGCUUGUUUGUUUACAGAGUGAUACGCUGUUCAAUUUUAAAGUUGUUCAAUUUAAAGAAUCAUCCCACAACUUUAAAGCAGUUCAAUUUCUUGUUGAUCUUGUCAUUUUCAAUUUUUCGGGCUUUGUGAGAUCCUUAUUAGAUGUUGACUAGUCGGAGAAUCUCAUCUCUUCUCUCUCGCUCACUUCAUUUGCUUCCUCGAAGAGGUACAUGGAUAAAAUUAUUGUAUAUGUGAAUAUUUAUUUGUGAUUAUUCUGAGAAAAUCUUGGUCUUUUUAUUUUGGGUAUUGAACAUGCUCUACUUAUCAAAAAUCCUAGAAGAAAUGAUCAUUGCAGCGUAAGAAGUGAACUUGAAAAUUUGAAACAAAGGAAGUUUGGUAAAUUCAUUUUGACGGUUCUUUGAAGUUGGAUUGGAGGGACAGGAUUAAUGACCACCCUAAAUUUGUGUCGAUUUCGGUCUGAUAUCAAAACUAGAUUAUUUUGAAAGUUCAUAAAUUUUAAGAGUGACAACUAAAGAUGCUUGUACUCACAAGAGUCAGUCAAACAGAUUAGAAGAGAGAG
rnacentral:lncRNA from 1 species